rnacentral:rRNA from 1 species
ACCUAAUAGAUACCCCGGUAGUCCACGCCCUAAACGAUGCGAACUGGAUGUUGGGUACAUUACGGUACUCAGUGUCGAAAGCUAAACGCGUUAAGUUCGCCGCCUGGGGAGUACGGUCGCAAGACUGAAACUCAAAGGAAUUGACGGGGGCCCGCACAAGCGGUGGAGUAUGUGGUUUAAUUCGAUGCAAUGCGAAGAACCUUACCUGGCCUUGACAUCUGUCGAAUCCUGCAGAGAUGCGGGAGUGCCGCAAGGAACGACAAGACAGGUGCUGCAUGGCUGUCGUCAGCUCGUGUCGUGGGAUGUUGGGUUAAGUCCCGCAACGAGCGCAACCCUUGUCCCUAGUUGCCAGCACAUCAUGGUGGGAACUCUAGGGAGACUGCCGGUGACAAACCGG